AGCCGAGCGGUGCUCUUGUGCAAUCACUCCAACGCGAACAGCUGGAGCGCCAGGCUGCUGCGCUCGCCACCUCUGGAGCACCGCUGGCCUGGCGGGGAGCCCGGCCUCGCCGACAGGACUCCGGGCUGGCCUUUCCGAACAAUGGGCAGGCGCUCUGCGAAGGCCGCCCCUCAGACAGCUAUCUUGCACCGGGGUUUGCCCGGGUCUGCUUAACUGGGAAGUGGAGCAUGCAAAGACGAGCGGGAGGCGGAGGCAGACGAGUGAGAGGAGCGAGCAGCUGCGUGCGAAGCGAGCCGGCCGUCAAAACGGUACCCAGACCCGCGCCGCUCGGGCCACAACUCGCCCCGGCACUGACAGCCCCUUUUACACCGUCGCCGCUGGCUUCUAGUCGGGAAGCGGGAUCGAGGAACGGGGAGAUGAACUGGGGAGAGGGGUGGAAUCCAGCGCUCCCCGGCUGCUCCGGCCCGACUGCUCUUAACUUUGGAGGGAUCCCGGGGAUGGCUCCCGAGGAAGAGGAAAAAACUACCCCACCGACUAGGAAAGCCUCUUCACCAUACCCACCCGCCACUUGGGCUCCCGGUCCCCUCCCUCUGAAACGCGCCUGUUACCAACCUGGGGUUUAUAAGGUUAAAUAGUAUGUGGUUUCCCGGCCGCCCCUCCACCCCCAUCAAAUCUGAGGAAGGCAAAUCUCGGGGAUGCAGCCCGGGAGUUGGCCUCGGUUUGCACCUGGAGGAGGAGCUGAGGCGUUCUGGGCAUCCUACAGAAACUGACAAGCGCUCCCCUGUACCCUCCGAAUCUAUACAACGGCCCAAAGGGAGCAGGCGGAAGAAAGAGCUCAGGCUCUCUGGCCCCGAAGUCCAAAAAUACCUUCAUUUCCUCAUUGAUCUCCCUUUUCACUGGCCUGAUUCCUCCAGAAAAUACAUUGGAGAGUGGAUAGGAAGACCCCAGGGUGAUCUGCCUUCAGCCCUCAACCCCUAGAUCUGCUUCGUUGUUAUCUCCAAGAACACCUAACUGGAAGCCCAGUCUUCAUGCCUGGAGAGUGAAGCUGAGCACAGGGUCACACUAGGAAGUGGCCGAUCCCUGAUAAAAGUCCCCAGUCAGCUGACUCCCAGACAGAAAAUUUGUCUCCAAUGUGCUGUUCGGCCCUGAGUUGUCUCUUCAUUACAUCCCAGAGGGAGGACAUUGAGUGGAAAAGUUUCCACAGUUUCACUAUGAGAAGACAUUAUACAUUUCAGUGGAAGAAAGAAAAUGUCAUCAAAAGCUAAGUAGAUAAGUUAAGGAUGCUAUAAUAAGUCUUGGGAUAUAGGCUGUGCAUUUGUUUUGUUUUUUAAUUCCAUUAAAGUCAGUAAAUCUGUGUACCAGAUGCUGAAGUAGGACUCUUGCUUCAAGCCAGUUUUGCCCUUCCCAUCUGAAGUCAGCCAGUCUUUAGUGCAGCUGAUCUCCUUUUGAGUCUGGAGGUGAGGGAGAGCUGGCAGGGACAGAUGGAAGAGAAGAGAGAAGAUCCGGGGACAGUGACUAGAAGCUGUGCUCCUUGAGGAAGUCUCAGGAUGUACAGUAUGGGAAGGUGCCGAAGCCCUAAACUGGGAAACAAAACAAAACACCAGCAUGGGGAAAAAAAAAAGGAAGUUCAACAUUGAACACAGAGUAUGCACAGAGGCAUCUUUUUAGGUGGUGAGCAGUAGAGUUUUGUCACUGAACACAUGGACAAUUAUAUAGAAUUUAGUAAUACAAAAGCUACUAUUUCUUGAAUGCUUUUUAUGCACCAGGGACCAUGCUUAAUAUUUUACAGAGAUUAUUUUAUUCAAUCUUCACACAGUUGACACAAUUACAGAUUGUGUUCCAUUUUGCAGAUGAGGAAAUGGAGAGUUAAGACAUUCAGCAUUUGCCUAGUAAGUGGGCCAGCAGUCUGAGUAGAGUCUAGAAUUCUCCCUGCCACCUUGUAUUACCAAUGGUUUUGGUGAGGAGUCUUGCUUACAAGUAACAAAACGAGCUCUAACUGUCUAAAGAAAAAAAAAUGUUGGAGGAAAGGGGGUUCACAGAAUCCAAGAGGCUGGGAGAACAGGCUUGGGAAACAGGCAAGAACCCAGGGCCUCAGGAGGCCAGGCCACAGGAACACCCUAUCCAAGAUGCCACCAUCUCUGCUUCUGCUAUACCACACCUUCUAGAAAUGACAACUGGACAUCAUGCUGACCCCAUGAGCUGCCCCAGAUGCUUCUCCUUCAUCUUCACCUCGGGGUGCACAGGCCUGGAUGGGAAGGUCCACGGCCAGGUGUUGGAGCCCCUGUUCCAUAUUCCAGGGGGUGGGGAGAGUGAGAUUCAAACUGUUUGGCAUCCACAGUGGAAAGUGAGGUCUUAUAUCCCAAGAUCACACGCGAUGAAGAAUUCCCCUAAAUGCAAGGACAGAUGGAUUUUGACAGCCAAAGGAAUGUUAUAAUGUCCUUCCAGACUACCAGCUGUAGCCACUUUGUAGCAAAUCAUUCCAUUAGGAAAGUAAAUGUAGGGCUGUUAAAAUAAUUUUGAAAGGUCAGGCAAAGGUGGAAUUGUGCAAACAUUAAAUAUUGCAAAUCAAAACCUGACUGACCUAGAAUUUCAUCCUAAUAGAUUUAUUUUCAAUCUCUAAAUGCAGACUUCAAAAAGGCAAAUUUGGUAACCCAUAUGCUAAACAGCAAUUAAUUGGAAUGUUUAGGGAAUGGAAUGUUCUUGUUAACUUAAAUUUCUAACUAAAUGUGAUUAAGCCUUUAAAAAGACCCACAAGCCUUUAUAUUUCAGAUCUUGUCACUGGAAUUCUUAAUAAAAUAUUUGGAUUGUGAGGAUUUUGCAAUUCCUCAGAAUUACUGAUGCCACCAUAUGUGGUUGUAAAGUGCAGUCGGUGUAGACUGUGCUGAAUGUGUUCAGAUCUCGGGGUAUAUGUUCCAUGUACAUUUCAUUAGCCAAAUUUCUUUUUUCAUUUUAGGAUGAUCCUUUUGCAAAUUUUUAUUAAAAUUCUUAUUUUUUAAAAAAGAUUUAUCACCUCUUAACAUAAAGGGGAAAUGGCUAUAUAUUCAAUUACAAAUGCAGAAACAUAUAAUACGAUUUGAUCUUGAAAAUGUAACAGCCAUGAAGGCAUCCAAUAUUCCUUCAUUAGCCAAACUUCUGAUAUGAGUUUGCCUUUUGUUUUCUCCAUUGCAUAAAAAUUAGAUAAAGAGGAGGAAAUAAAUUCUGUCCACGUAAACUUUUUUUUUUUUUGGAGCCUACUAAGGACAAGCAUACUACUAGGUUCUAUGAACAUAAACAUAAAUAAUAAAGGUGUUUUUAAAAUGAGAUGGGAAUUCAGAAAAUGGGCUGACUAAUUCUGAGUGAAGGAUAGAGAUGGCAACCAUCUGAGCGGGGCCUUGAGGAAUGAGAAGUAGGAUAUUGCCAGAUGAGGGAGGGAGAAGGAGGACAUCCUAGGCAGGAAGAACAGUGUGAAGAAAAGUGUCAAGACGUGAAAGUGCAAAUGGAGGAAAGGGAAGGGGGAAUAAUUCAGUGGGCCUAGGAUGAGUAUGUUAAAGGGGGCUAUGAGAUCACCCCAAAUGUAGGAUAGGACCAGACUGUCAAUGGCUGCAAAUACCAUCCUAAAGGACAGUGGACUUCUUUCUGAGAGUCCUAGGAAGCCACUGAGUCUUUUUUAGAAGGUGAUAAGAUCAUAAAUGUGGGACAGGAAGAUCACUUUGACAACAGGUAAAAGGCAGAAGAAGAGAUCAGAAGUAGGAAAUUACAUAAGAGGUGUUUGUAAAAGUCCAAGAGGUAAUAAAUUAUUGCUUAGACUAGUGCAGUAGUAGUUGGAAGGGAUUCUUUCUACGAGUUGCCUUAGAGACAGAAUCCAUAGGAAUUGGUAUCUGACUGAACAGAGGGGAGAGGAGAUUGUGUGAAAAAAGUGAGUAUUUGGAUAACAGAGCCCACUGCAUUUUAACUAACUCCUUUUUGCAAAAACAACAAUAAAAAUUGCCCUUCUAAGUGGCUCAUUGAAUAAGUGGAGCAGUGGAUUCCAGUUUUGAUUGAUCAUCUCCCCAGCCCAGACCUACUGAAGUAGGUUGUCUGGAAGUAAAGACCAGUAAUUCAUAUUUUAAAAGCUCUCCAAGGAUUCUGAUGAUCAGUCAAUUUAAGAAAGCACUGCAAUUGAAAAUCUGAACAGCAAAUGAUACCCAAUAACAUUAGAUUCUGCGAUAUCUUAUGAUGUCCUGUCUGCUCUACUUCUGAAACAUAGCCUGAAUCUCAGUAUCCUCUCUAAUUCCUCCACACCCAUCCUAAUAUUAGGCCCAUUUAUUUAUUGCCAAAACUAAGUAACUGCCACCUACCUGGGCUCCUUGCUUCCACUCUUGUCCCUGUGCAGUCCAUUCUCCACAAAGCAACCAGACCAUUUCUUCAAAAAUGUGAAACAGAACUUGUACCCUCUUGCUGAAAAUGUUCCAGUGACUUCCUGUCACACUGUGAUGGUUUUAAAAUAUGUCCAUAAAUUCUUUGUUGCUUCUCCCUUGAAAGAAUAAAGCCUGAUUCCCCUCCCCUUGAUUAUGGGCUAUUCUUAGUGACUUGCUUGUAAGAAACAGAAUGUGACAAAAGUGAUGGUGUGUGAUGUCCAAGAUUAGGACAUAAAAGAUAUUGUGGUUUCCUUCUUGCUCUCUUUUCUUGAAUCAAUCACUUACUUGGGGGAAGAGAGAUACUAUGUCACAUUCAAGCAGCCCUACGAAGAGGUCCAUAUGGUGAAAAACUGAAGCCCUCUGCCAACAGUCAGCAAGGAACUGAGGGCUUCUGCCAAUAGCCAAUUGAAUGCUCCAUCUUGGAAGCAGAUCCUCCAGCCUCAGUCAAGCCUUCAGAUGACUGUAGCCAUAGUCAAUAUCUUGAUUCCAAUUAUCUGAGAGGCCCUGAGUCAAAACCACCCAGUUAUUUGGCUCCCAAAUUCCUGACUCACAGAAACUAUGAGAUAAUAAUGGUUUUAAGCUAUUAUGUUUUGGGGAAAAUCUGUUAGCAACAAUAGAUAACUAAUACACAUACUUAAAAUACAAUCCAAACUCCUUGCCAUGGCUGGCAAGGUUCUACAUACUUAGAAUUCUGCCUAUAUUACUAAUUUUAUCUACCACUCACUUUGUGGAAAAGACUACUAGUUGUCCCUUAACAGCUAAUUGUCUCUACUUUGUUUAGAAAUAGAGUCACCAAAGUUUAUCCAGGUAUAUGAAUUCAAACUACUGACCAUAUUUCCUAGCCUCCCUCACAACUAGAUUUGGUCAUAUGGCAAAUUCUAGCCAAUAGGAUGUGAGCAAAGGGAUGUGUGUAACUCCCAAGUUGUGCCUUUAAAUAGAAGGGAUGUGGCUUCUGUUCCCCUUCCCCUCAUUUCUGAUGACUAGAAUACCAGUAUGAUGGUUAAAGAGGAGAAGCUGGACUAGCCAUCUCAAGUCACAAGAUGGAAGUCUCAUGGUAAGCAUGGCAAAGCAACAGGAUAAAAAGAGCAUUGGUCCCCAAUACCAUUAAGCCAGGUCUGUCUUGUCUUUAACAUGAGCAAGACACAGGGCUAUAUAUUGCAUUAAAUCAUUGCAUUUUUUGGUCUCUUUACUACAACAGCCCAACCUAUACGUUAACUUACUCAGCUCCUUGUUUACCACGUUCUAGCCACAUUGAUCUUCUUUCUUCUCUUUUACUACCCUGAGGUCUUUGCACUUGCUGUUCACUCUGCUUGGAAUACUUUCCCCGGCCAGGAGUCCCCCAUGGCUGACUCCCUGCUACCAGGUUUCAUUGUUUCAUCUAAAACACUUACCCCUGUGUUGUUCUCUAUUACAUAAUCAUGAAUGAGUUCUAUUCUUCAUGGUACUCUCAGCACCUUAAAUUUUCUCACUUAUCUGUUUGUUGUCUGUCACUCUCCACUAGAAUACAAUCUCCAUAAGAUCAAGACUCUUGUCUGCCUUAUUUCCCGCUGAAUCUCCUGUGCCAGGAAAGUGCCUGCACGUAGUAGAUGCUCUAUAAGUAUCUGUUGUGCAAAUAAGUUAACAAAUGAAUUGAUGAUAAAUGAUGUCAAGAGCCUAGUCCUUGGAUCACUUUUCAUAAUUCAGCCUCCUUUAUCUGCUGAAAUUAGGGUAAGACAGGUAACAAUAAUGACUUAACUCAGGAUUAACAAAAGAAUGUCAAUAAGUCUCUUAUACCUUCAUUAUUAAGUGUUCUGAUUUAAUGAGGAAAUAGAAACACAGAAACAGUAAAUGAAUCUCUGCCUUUAGCCUUUAAAACCCAACUAGAGAAAAGUAAAAACGAGCUCAUAAAAAUAUUAUGCCUAAAGAACAGAUUCUCUUAAAUCCUAAUAUAGAUUAUCGUAUUACAUUGCCUCUAAGAUGCCAGCUAUUGUGAGACACACCAUUGUUUUAUGUACCAUGAAAAAAGAAAAAAUGCUGCUGUGGUACAUUGCGUUAUUAUUCCUCUGUGCCCACAGCCCCUUCCCAGCCUCAGGGUGGAUGGAGUAUACUUCCCCUGCUCCAUUGUCAGGAUUGACCAUGUGACUUGCUUUGACCAACUGAAUGUGAAUAGACAUGACAAAGGCCAUAUCCAGGCAGCUUUAAAUGUGCCUGUGAGGUUAGAUUCAGCUUUUGCUCCUUCCCUCAACCGUGAGAUAAUGGUAGAAUAGUCCCAGAAAGUGGCUAGUCCUUCCACCUGGAUUCUAGAACGACAUAUGUAGCUGUGCAGAGGUAAGCCAAGCCCGGUCAAACCAACCAGAGCAAAGGCCAGUGGAGCCACAGCCAACCCACAGCCCUACAUAAUGUGAAUAAGAAAUAGGUUUCAUAGUAAGCCAAUGAGAGAUCGAUAAUCACAACAAAAGCUAUGACAAUUAACCUACCACAUACCAUCAAUUGUAAGCUGCAUGUUGGUUUCAGAGAUGUUAAAAUGUGGACCAAUGUGUGUCUUAGGAUCAAUAAAAUAUGGUAUGUAUUAUAUGUUAUCACAUAUCAGCAAAGAUAUAUUGCAAGUGCCCAAUAAAUAUUUGUUGACUUGAUUUUAUGUACGGGAUGAUGUGGAGUUCAUAUUUUUAGUGAGAGUUCUUGAUACACACCUUUUCUUUUUAACACAUUAUAUGUAACAGUAUAACCUUAGGUAUUAACUGUAAUGGAAACUAAAAUUUAUAUAGCAAGCAAAGUUCAAACUAAAUAAAAGGCAAGCUGGGACUUUUCAUUACU